GAUAUAGGAGAAUACUUAACAACAUAAAUACAGCUGCAAGCACAUUCUCAGUAUUAAACUGAAUGCCCACACAUGAAGAAUGAUUUCUGGCCAGUAAAUGAUGUCUUGGAAUUCAAAAAGGAUCACAUAGGAAAAUAGAAAAAGGUAGCACAGCUGCUAGAGAAGUAAAGAGAAGAAGGCUAUGGAUUAUUUCCGUGAUGGUUCCUGGAUUAAAAACUCACCACAAUGAUUGAUUCCUGACUCUCUUUGUAACAUCUCGUAUCUGUACACUAUAUUACUUUUUAUUUCACAUUAUCCUCUA